GAUGAACGCUGGCGGCGCGCCUAACACAUGCAAGUCGAACGAUUAAAGCACCUUCGGGUGUGUAUAAAGUGGCGAACGGCUGAGUAACACGUGGGCAACCUGCCCCUUUCAUUGGGAUAGCCACGGGAAACCGUGGAUAAUACCGAAUACUUCGAGACUUCCGCAUGGAAGACUCGAGAAAGCUCUGGCGGAGAGGGAUGGGCCCGCGGCCUGUUAGCUUGUUGGUGGGGUAACGGCCUACCAAGGCAAUGAUGGGUAGCUGGGUUGAGAGACCGACCAGCCAGAUUGGGACUGAGACACGGCCCAGACUCCUACGGGAGGCAGCAGUGGGGAAUCUUGCACAAUGGGCGAAAGCCUGAUGCAGCGACGCCGCGUGCGGGAUGAAGGCCUUCGGGUUGUAAACCGCUUUCAGCAGGGACGAGGCGAAAGUGGCGGUACCUGCAGAAGAAGCCCCGGCUAACUACGUG
rnacentral:rRNA from 1 species